UAGAAGCCUGAGUCUCCAAUGGCCUGGGCCCACUCUUAGUGAUCAUAUUAUAGAAGUCAGGUAGUUAUGUAACUGGUCACAUAUUUCUGUUAUAAUUUUAUAAUUAUUUAUCCUUUGAGACCUACAGGCCAGCUGUAGGCCACCACAGACUGACUGCAGCGCACCAUUUCUCAUCUGCCUGCAUCACUUGAAGAAGGGGGAAGGGGUCUAGCAUGAAACUAGAGUGAAGGAGUGAUACUAUAUCGGAGAAGCGGGCAAUACCACAUGUUCUGCCCAGCCUGAAAAUGAGGUUUCUUUGUAUGCACUGGAUAAUGCUAAUGUUGAAGAAACUUUCUCGUCUGACCAUCCAGGAACCACUCUCACCACCUAAGACUGUUACCGCUGGGAUCGAAGCCCCAUCACAACACAUGACUCCACUGAGACAGCGGGUGCCCUGCUUGACUCUCUACACAUUCCACUCACACGGAUAGACAGGUUUCCCUCACCAGCUCAAGCCCAGGUUCCAUGUAGCAGUCACAGAUGUCUGGUUCCCAUAAGUUAACAUUGAGCCUUUUAUCAUGGUGCAGCAGCACAACAACAGCUUGUACUGAUGCCGCCCAGGAAGGACCCCAAACAAAGAAAUCCUUGGGCGUUUGUUUCCUUACAGUCUGUGCACCUAUUCCAGUGGUGAUUUUGGGUCUGGAGUCUUCUUGUCUUUCAUUUGUUGCCACAGAGUCCCUGAGUGACAGAUCAGCCUUCCCUCAAAUUCCCCAUACCCUCAGCUGUGCAAAGGGUUGGUGCCAGGUCAUGGCUUGUUGCUGGGAGCAGUCAUUUACCAUGUGCUCAUCCAAGGCACAACCUGCAACUUGCACUGCAGCUGCUCACUGAGCUGCCUGCACUGGGUGUAGUCCUCAGCCCUAUGCAGCUACAAUGGGUCACAAUCUUAGACAUAACGACUGCUAGAACAACAGAAAGAUGCUUUCCCCCCUCUCAGUUCAUCAGCUUAAAAUCUAAUACCUUCCCCACUAAGAUGUCUAAAAUUUCUAAAAUUAUUUUACCCAAAUACUCUGCAAUUCUACUCUAUUUUGUUCUUAAUUCUUUUAAUGGCAUCACAGUCUUUGACUCCAUCUAGGAAGCAGUACAGCACAAUAAACACAGUUUUGUACAGCACCUCGUGCUGAAGACUUCAUGUCCACAACACAUGCAGUUGGGGCUUUAUUCUGGAAUAGCUUUAGUCUGACCACCUAGACUGAGCACCUGUUAGUGAUUAAAGUGUAUGAGGUGUACUUUUGGAGCACAUUUUCUGAUAUAGAUUGAGGGGACAGGGGGAUGGAGCAGGAGGGAGGGAGGAAAGAGAAAAAAAAAUAGUUCCUGCACUCCAAGACCGUUUCAGGAUAUGAACCAAAAUAUUUUAUGUGGUAGCAAUUGGGAGAUAAAGUGCAUUCUUGAUGCAGCCUUAAACACUACUAUGUGUGUUAGUUAUUCCAAGAAAGAGAAAAGAAUUUCAAGAAAAAAAUAUCUGCAGUAAAAUAAGAAUGUUGUUCUAUUUCCUCAUAUGCAAUUCCACCAAAGUUAACUUUAUUAAAUAUGUCAGAUAAGGCAUGGUAAAAAAUCCUUUCCCUUUUAUUCUGUAUGCCACAUAAUAUUUGAUGCUUAGAGUCACAAAGCCCAGUGUAGUUCAUAGAUUGGAUCCCUUAUCCCAAACUUCCUAUUGAAAUAGGUAUGUAACAUGAUGUCCAAAAAGAACUAUUUUUCUACAAUAGGAAAUUGAAGAAAUUACUACAAUAUAAUGUCAAUUAUUUAAAUAAUUGUUAUAUAUCUUAACAGAUAUAUAAGUUUCUGGAUGGCUUAUUCCUCCUAUAACCUAGUACUACUGAUUUCACCAAAUAUUUUCCAACCACAGUCUUUCAAAUAAAGAACAAAUAAAUACCUAUAUUAUGCAGCAAGAUGAAAAUAAUGGACGUUCUGUACUCAAAGUAAAGGGGAAACUUAGGACCGUGAAUAUUUCUUCUUUCUUAAAAGGUUACCACUUCAUUGGUCACAGAAAAUUAAUAUAGUCAUUGUACACAAACAUAUACUAUAGUAUCCAUCAUUUGCAUGUCAACAGAUGUGUUACACAAAAGCCUGCUAAGGUAAUUAUUCUAUUUUCAAAAAUAUCUCACCUUGGAGUCACUGGCAGGCCUGGAAACCAUAGCUUUAAACAAAUGUGAACUACAUUUAUGAAGUUGAAAAAACAAAUGGAUUUAUUUUUGGCUUUUGCAGCAUCGCCACCAAGUAAAAUUUAGCAUCUGUAAAUGGUCUCUGUGUCCAAGUGAAUGGAUUCAAGUCUUAGCUUGAGGGGAGCUUUAUAGCUGGCCCCCCUCCAGAGUCUGAGGCUUCAGGCUACAUUCCUAGGAUUUGCUGUGCAGGGACUCUUUUCUACUGUGACUAGGUAGCUCUCUGUUAGAACUCACGGCAGAAAAUCAAUGUCCUUUUCAUAUUACUUGCUGUGUUUUUUUAACCUCUCAGAGCUCAAAACCCAGAGAGGCCGUAUUUCAUUCCAGUUAUAUAUCAUACUAGCAAUUUCCUCUUGAUUAACAAAAAUGCUACCAAUGUUUACUAGUCAUCCUACCCUAAUGCUCAUGUGCAUUCAUCACUUCUGGACUGGCAGAGAUAGCAGUGUGAUCUGUCCAGGGAGUAGAACAGAUGUGUUCCUGGGUCAGCUAACUUGGCAACUGUGAGACAUAAAUACAAGAUAAAAAUAUCAUCAUGUUGGGGAAACACUUAAGAAAAAUGUUCUAACACCUUCUUUAGCAACUCGUAGUAGAAAAGAAAAGAUGAGGGCAGGGGAACUGUGAUCCUUUAUUCUUUUUCCUCCUCUGGCCUUUGACUAGAAAAAGAGAUGACAACUACAAAUUCAGAAAGACACUGGUGGUGGUACCACACCUACAUUUUAUCCUCCAAAAUUACACAUACAAAUGUGUGACUCGAGCCGCUGAACAACAAGCUAUUACUGUUGGCAAUGCUGCUUGAUAUUUGGUUAGGAAAGGGCAGACUUGGAAAGUGUUAGGACCUGACCCUAAUGAGUUCUUUACAAACCUUCUAUGCCUCAGUCUUACAGCAGAGUGAGGUAAACAUGAUCCUUGCAAUCCCAGCUCCCAGCAGUUUUUGCUUCAGCAAUCCCAGUUCUCAGCAGUUCAACCAAGGUGUAAGCCAUGAACACUCAUCUCUAUAAGCACUCAUGCACUAUUACCUAGAAUAUAAAAUCACUGAAGAAUUGAGGGUUUAUCUUGUUGUCAUGGUUUAAUCCCAUCUAGAAACUGUGUACCAUCAUGCAGCUGCCCACACAUUCCCUCAUGCAAACCCAGUGGGAAGCAGAAUCCAAGAGGAAAAAAAAGUAAACUUCAUGGCUUGAAAUAAGAACAAGAUCAAUGAGAAGGAGGAGGAGAAGGAAAAGGAGAAGAGAAGACAGGUGCCUAAAUUACUUGUGGAAUUAGAAGUAUGAAGCCACAAAGCAACUUUUAAACCUUUAAAACUAAAUAAAAGCAUUAAAGAAUGCCAAAGUCAAAAAAUAACAAAAAAAACAACCAAACAAA